rnacentral:rRNA from 1 species
AUUGAACGCUGGCGGCAGGCUUAACACAUGCAAGUCGAGCGAGCGGCGGACGGGUGAGUAAUGUCUGGGAAACUGCCUGAUGGAGGGGGAUAACUACUGGAAACGGUAGCUAAUACUGCUUACCAUCAGAUGUGCUCGGAUGGGUGUAGUUAGUGGGUGGGGUAAUGGCUCACCUAGGCGACGAUCCCUAGCUGUUCUGAGAGGAUGACCGGCCACACUUGAACUGAGACACGGGCCAGACCCCUACGGGAGGCAGCAGUGGGGAAUGUUGCACAAUGGGCGCAAGCCUGAUGCAGCCAUGCCGCGUGUGUGAAGAAGGCCUUCGGGUUGUAAAGCUCUUUCAGCGAGGAGGCGGUACUCGCAGAAGAAGAACCGGCUAACUCCGUGCCAGCAGCCGCGGUAAUUC